UCAGGAUGAACGCUAGCUACAGGCUUAACACAUGCAAGUCGAGGGGCAGCAUGGUCUUAGCUUGCUAAGGCCGAUGGCGACCGGCGCACGGGUGAGUAACACGUAUCCAACCUGCCGUCUACUCUUGGACAGCCUUCUGAAAGGAAGAUUAAUACAAGAUGGCAUCAUGAGUCCGCAUGUUCACAUGAUUAAAGGUAUUCCGGUAGACGAUGGGGAUGCGUUCCAUUACAUAGUAGGCGGGGUAACGGCCCACCUAGUCUUCGAUGGAUAGGGGUUCUGAGAGGAAGGUCCCCCACAUUGGAACUGAGACACGGUCCAAACUCCUACGGGAGGCAGCAGUGAGGAAUAUUGGUCAAUGGGCGAGAGCCUGAACCAGCCAAGUAGCGUGAAGGAUGACUGCCCUAUGGGUUGUAAACUUCUUUUAUAAAGGAAUAAAGUCGGGUAUGGAUACCCGUUUGCAUGUACUUUAUGAAUAAGGAUCGGCUAACUCCGUGCCAGCAGCCGCGGUAAUACGGAGGAUCCGAGCGUUAUCCGGAUUUAUUGGGUUUAAAGGGAGCGUAGAUGGAUGUUUAAGUCAGUUGUGAAAGUUUGCGGCUCAACCGUAAAAUUGCAGUUGAUACUGGAUAUCUUGAGUGCAGUUGAGGCAGGCGGAAUUCAUGCUGUAGCGGUGAAAUGCUUACAUAUCACGAAGAACUCCGAUUGCGAAGGCAGCCUGCUAAGCUGCAACUGACAUUGAGGCUCGAAAGUGUGGGUAUCAAACAGGAUUAGAUACCCUGGUAGUCCACACGGUAAACGAUGAAUACUCGCUGUUUGCGAUAUACUGCAAGCGGCCAAGCGAAAGCGUUAAGUAUUCCACCUGGGGAGUACGCCGGCAACGGUGAAACUCAAAGGAAUUGACGGGGGCCCGCACAAGCGGAGGAACAUGUGGUUUAAUUCGAUGAUACGCGAGGAACCUUACCCGGGCUUAAAUUGCAGAUGAAUUACGGUGAAAGCCGUAAGCCGCAAGGCAUCUGUGAAGGUGCUGCAUGGUUGUCGUCAGCUCGUGCCGUGAGGUGUCGGCUUAAGUGCCAUAACGAGCGCAACCCUUGUUGUCAGUUACUAACAGGUUCCGCUGAGGACUCUGACAAGACUGCCAUCGUAAGAUGUGAGGAAGGUGGGGAUGACGUCAAAUCAGCACGGCCCUUACGUCCGGGGCUACACACGUGUUACAAUGGGGGGUACAGAGGGCCGCUACCACGCGAGUGGAUGCCAAUCCCCAAAACCUCUCUCAGUUCGGACUGGGGUCUGCAACCCGACUCCACGAAGCUGGAUUCGCUAGUAAUCGCGCAUCAGCCACGGCGCGGUGAAUACGUUCCCGGGCCUUGUACACACCGCCCGUCAAGCCAUGGGAGCCGGGGGUACCUGAAGUGCGUAACCGCGAGGAGCGCCCUAGGGUAAAAC
rnacentral:rRNA from 1 species